CUACGUGCCAGCAGCCGCGGUAAUACGUAGGUCCCGAGCGUUAUCCGGAUUUAUUGGGCGUAAAGCGAGCGCAGGCGGUUAGAUAAGUCUGAAGUUAAAGGCUGUGGCUUAACCAUAGUACGCUUUGGAAACUGUUUAACUUGAGUGCAGAAGGGGAGAGUGGAAUUCCAUGUGUAGCGGUGAAAUGCGUAGAUAUAUGGAGGAACACCGGUGGCGAAAGCGGCUCUCUGGUCUGUAACUGACGCUGAGGCUCGAAAGCGCGGGGAGCAAACAGGAUUAGAUACCCUGGUAGUCCACGCCGUAAACGAUGAGUGCUAGGUGUUGGGUCCUUUCCGGGACUCAGUGCCGCAGCUAACGCAUUAAGCACUCCGCCUGGGGAGUACGACCGCAAGGUUGAAACUCAAAGGAAUUGACGGGGGCCCGCACAAGCGGUGGAGCAUGUGGUUUAAUUCGAAGCAACGCGAAGAACCUUACCAGGUCUUGACAUCCAUCUGACCGCUCUAGAGAUAGAGCUUUC
rnacentral:rRNA from 1 species